ensembl:lncRNA
GCUUGUUGAGGACGCUCGGCCGAGAGUGGUUUAUUCGCUUACAGGCAUGAAAACAGUGAUCACGUCGGUGACGUGUAACAGUCGAAGCCUGAUCUCAAGUAAAGAGCACAGCUCUACCCAAAGCAUGACAUGGCUUAAGAACUCGUUACAAGGUCAUCCCUGCAAGUGGUGUGAAAGCACUUCUCUGCACCAGCCAAGAAAUGAUUAACACUGUUAGCUGCCUGUAGUCAAACGGGGGGAAAGCCACAGUGAGUGUGUUCGGGCCUGCUGCCUCUCUGGAGGAUCCUGGAGGGUUUUAGCUGCAGAGCUUUGGGGGCGAGCGAGAGGAGGAGGGGAAGCUGAUCUGUUCAGGGGGGCUGCAGAGACCACAAAAGGACCAAGUAUGGAGGCAUAUCAGGCUUAGGAAAGAACGAGUGACCAAAAAAUAAAAUAAAAUACUUAAGCAUUAAUAAGACAACCAUGACUUUUCUUUUUUAAAUAAAUAAAUAAGAAUCAGCAACAAUAAAUAGCAAAAGCAUAUAGUUAGACUUGCAGAGUCCUGUAACGCUGGGUGUUAAGUAGCAGGUCACUGUGUUCCUUUGACCGCUUACAACGCCUCUUCCAUUUGGCUGACCACAUCCUCUUCGUGCCACAUCCUGUUUAUUUCAAAUCUUCUAAGAUAGAGAAAUAAUGUGC